rnacentral:snRNA from 1 species
AUGUUCGCUUCAUCAGCAUAUUCACUAAAAUGGCAAAAAUAGAGAUUAGCAUUGCCCUUAUAAGAAUGAUAUGCAAAUUCAUGAAGUAUUCCAAUUUUUU